CCUACGGGAGGCAGCAGUGGGGAAUAUUGCACAAUGGGGGAAACCCUGAUGCAGCAACGCCGCGUGAGUGAAGCAGUAUUUCGGUAUGUAAAGCUCUAUCAGCAGGGAAGAAAAUGACGUUACCUGACUAAGAAGCCCCGGCUAACUACGUGCCAGCAGCCGCGGUAAUACGUAGGGGGCAAGCGUUAUCCGGAUUUACUGGGUGUAAAGGGAGCGUAGACGGUUGCGCAAGUCAGAAGUGAAAGCCCGGGGCGCAACCCCCGGACUGCUUUGGAAACUGUGUAACGAGAGUGCAGGAGAGGUAAGUGGAAUUCCUAGUGUAGCGGUGAAAUGCGUAGAUAUUAGGAGGAACAACAGUGGCGAAGGCGGCUUACUGGACUGUAACUGACGUUGAGGCUCGAAAGCGUGGGGAGCAAACAGGAUUAGAUACCCUAGUAGUC
rnacentral:rRNA from 1 species